rfam:Neotoma lepida isolate 417 scaffold_502, whole genome shotgun sequence.
GGAGAGAUGGCUCAGUGGUUAAGAGCACUGGCUGCUCUUCCUGAGGACCUGGGUUCAAUUCCCAGCACCUACA